CCUAUGGGUGGCAGCAGUGGGGAAUAUUGGACAAUGGGCGAAAGCCUGAUCCAGCCAUGCCGCGUGUGUGAAGAAGGCCUUCGGGUUGUAAAGCACUUUCAGUGGGGAAGAAAGCCUUGGGGCUAAUACCCUCGAGGAAGGACAUCACCCACAGAAGAAGCACCGGCUAACUCCGUGCCAGCAGCCGCGGUAAUACGGAGGGUGCGAGCGUUAAUCGGAAUUACUGGGCGUAAAGCGCGCGUAGGCGGUCUGAUAAGCCGGUUGUGAAAGCCCCGGGCUCAACCUGGGAACGGCAUCCGGAACUGUCAGGCUAGAGUGCAGGAGAGGAAGGUAGAAUUCCCGGUGUAGCGGUGAAAUGCGUAGAGAUCGGGAGGAAUACCAGUGGCGAAGGCGGCCUUCUGGACUGACACUGACGCUGAGGUGCGAAAGCGUGGGUAGCAAACAGGAUUAGAUACCCCAGUAGUC
rnacentral:rRNA from 1 species